CUUCUUAUUCUUGCCGAUCUCCCAAAUGGAAACCCUAUUCGAUCCUCCCCAUUUCCCGGCUCUUUCCGUGCGCCCACCCUCACCGCCAUGAGAAGGAGAUCGUUCCACUCCACUUCUGUCGCAUCUUCAUCUUCCCCCCACCUCGAUCCUCCUGCAAACCCUCACCCCCGCCAAACCCUAGAUCGGAUUCGGAUCCUAUGGCACCGAAUCCGCGCGCUCCUUGAAGUCCUGUUGGCACUCCGUAAAAUCGUUAUCGCAACGACAGAGGUCCAGCUAAAAGGGAGAUACCAAGGCCACAAAUAUGGAAUCAAUGAUGCCAGAAGCAUGUGAUGCAACCCCAGAAAGGAUUAUUGCUCUCCAAUUGUACACUCAGCUACCAACACAAAGGACUUUGGCUUUGCGCCCGAGGAUUGAUCGAAGGUAAGGAGCAUAAUUAUCUAAUCCAAUCUUUUCUGAUGGUGAUAUAAAACUUCUCGUUGAUGGAAAUUGAUGCAAGCACACACAGCCAUUUCUGAUCACAGGCAACAUGUCCGUAUGCUUGCUAUGGUGGAAAUGAUAAUGCUGCAACUAUGUAUGAUUGCUGUGGAAUGGCUGUGUCGGCAGAGAGAGAGAGAGAGAGAGGAGUAAACCUGGUCUUUUAUUGCCUUGUGGUUGCUAGUUGACAAACGAGGACGGUGACGCAGGAAUAUGCUUGCACUCGCCGAGGAGUACGACGGCGAAUAAAAGCCGCGUCUGUGGGGUCAUUCGCCACGGCGGGAGUUCCCUCCAGUCCGACCAAGAUGCGGCGCGGCUCACACGGGCGUGAGGAGAGUUGCGUCCGAGCAUGAAGACUUCGCUACUCUUUCUCUGUUGUUGCACUAACUCUUUUCUUUUGUGAAACAAAAAGAGAAU